rnacentral:piRNA from 1 species
GGGGACAUGUUGGAGAGGGGCACCCGA